CGCGUAGGCGGGCUGCCAAGUCCGGGGUGAAAUCUUUCGGCUCAACCGGAAAAUAGCCUUGGAUACUGGCAGUCUCGAGUAAGGUAGGGGCGGGUGGAACUUCCGGUGGAGCGGUGAAAUGCGUUGAUAUCGGAAGGAACGCCGGUGGCGAAAGCGACCCGCUGGACCUCUUCUGACGCUGAGGCGCGAAAGCCAGGGGAGCAAACGGGAUUAGAUACCCCGGUAGUCCUGGCCCUAAACGAUGGGUACUAGAUAGCGGACUAGACAUGGGUUCGCUGUCGAAGCAAAAGUGCUAAGUACCCCGCCUGGGGAGUAUGGUCGCAAGGCUGAA
rnacentral:rRNA from 1 species